rnacentral:rRNA from 1 species
ACGAACGCUGGCGGCGUGCCUAAUACAUGCAAGUCGAACGGUCUUUCUAUGGAAGCUUGCUUCCACUGAGAAGAUAGUGGCGAACGGGUGAGUAACACGUGGGUAACCUGCCCAUAAGAGGGGGGAUAACAUCCGGAAACGGGUGCUAAUACCGCAUAGUUUUCUUGGUCGCAUGAUCGGGAAAGGAAAGACGGCCUUUGUGCUGUCGCUUAUGGAUGGACCCGCGGCGUAUUAGUUAGUUGGUGAGGUAACGGCUCACCAAGACGAUGAUACGUAGCCGACCUGAGAGGGUGAUCGGCCACAUUGGGACUGAGACACGGCCCAAACUCCUACGGGAGGCAGCAGUAGGGAAUCUUCCGCAAUGGACGAAAGUCUGACGGAGCAACGCCGCGUGAGUGAAAGAAGGUUUUCGGAUCGUAAAACUCUGUUGUCAGAGAAGAACAAGUUGGAGAGUAACUGCUCCAGCCUUGACGGUAUCUGACCAGAAAGCCACGGCUAACUACGUGCCAGCCGCGGC